rfam:Rhodobacter sp. SW2 ctg00032, whole genome shotgun sequence.
GGGGAUCUUCGGAGCCCUGCAAACCGGAUCCCAACGAUGGAUCCUUCAACUGACGGAAGACAGAAA